rnacentral:antisense_RNA from 1 species
UUUUAUGGUGAUCGUACGUGGGGCGCUUCGGCGCGCCGGGUGCUGACUUCUCGGUCGACUAACCCGCGUACGGUCGCCUCCCAU